rnacentral:lncRNA from 1 species
CUACAUGAAGACCGCUGACGACUUGGAGUAGUUAGGAGGCUCCCAGGCAGGAGGCCUUGCCUUUUCAAUCGUUGUUUCUUUUGUGCUAGCCUUCUUAAGGCAAACUUGUCUAACUCAUGUUUGUACUCAGAUAUUGUUGCUUCCGCUGACUCUUGUGUUUUUCGAGCUUAUGUAUUUGAGCCCUCGAGGCCCCUGGCUUGUAAUAUAAAGCUUGUAUUAUUUUAAUUUGUGUCUAGAGUUGUGUGGUGAUAUCUUCCCGUGAGUCCUUGAUCUUGAUCGUACACAUUUGCAUGUAUGAUUAGUGUACGGUCAAAUCGGGGGAGUCACAAGUUGGUAUCAGAGCCCACUGCCUGUAGGUAGCCCCCUUUCCAACUCCUUGGCCGAAGUUGAGUCUAGUCACUGCAAAAACUUUUACUAACAUGGCUGUGUGCCUUACGCGCCCACAUCGCCAUUUGGGUGGUAUUAGGAUCUUUUAUGCCUUGUCUAUACUCUGGGACUCUGACCUCUCUUCUUUUCGGGUUAAAAGGUUUUUCUAACUCUAACUCUAGGUUCUCGUAAUUACUUCCUUCCGGAGAGCCCCUUAUUGCAGAUGAUCGCCUGUUGCACCAGAAGAUUCUGAAGAUACUCUCUGAUGUUCUUUCAAGACUUUGUGCCCGUUGCUUUUGUGAUUCCCUACCCCUAAAAUACCCCUAUGGAUAAAUACAUACACCCGUCGUUCUUAAUUUUAUUCCAAGUUGAUCUUGUUAUUACAAGAUACCCCGAACUCCUCUCUAAUGCUCUGAGAAAUCUUUGUGCUUACUGCCUUGUAGUUCCUUGUCGCCUGAAUACAUCUACAACUUAAUCCUCACCCUCCCCGAGGAUUUGUUUAUCCCCAGUUGUUCAUGUGUUCACAAAAGUCUUCGAAAUGCUAUUCAAUCUUUCAAAAAUCCUCAGCAAGCUAUUUCUCUUGAAAUUCUUGCUUGCCUGCAUUAUGGUUAAUCCCAUAAGUCUGGUAAUCUUAUUGGCAUCCAUUCUCAUUAUAAUUUUGAGUCCAUUGAUUCAAUGUGUUGCGAUUUCUUGCAAUCCUCAGAAGAAUCUUAGAAUUCUUUCCACCAGCUUAGACGCCAUUUUAAACAUGAGCUGGGUCUCGACCAAUCAAAUUGCCAUCGAUUGUAAACCUAAGGCUAUUCUACCUAUCCAUCCCUAAUCAGAGCAUUGCUUCUGAUCCCUUGUCUUGGAAUUCAUAAUUCCUUUGCAAUUAAACUUUGAGUUAGUCAGUUGUUUCUAUAAUCUGAUCUCCUUGCAUUCUUUCUUCCUCUGAUUGGAUAUUGAGGCUCACAUCAGAUCCCUUGUGGACCAUCAGACUCCCCCUUUUUCAGAUUUUAUCCGACAACGUCCUUCAUAUUCAAUAAGCUUGUAAGACUUUCCUUGGAUACAUUAUGGUUUUGGUAAAUUGUAUCCUCUUCUUUCUCAAGCAUGCUCUACUAUCGAGCUUGUGUUAUUUAUUCUCGAAAUUUAUGAUAUAUGUUCCUAAGAUGCCCCGAUGGGUUGAACCUAUGCCUUCCCUAAUCUGUGUGAACUUGAAAGUUAUGCGGAUUUUACUCUACUGGCUUUUCAUCAGAUAUAAUUUCAAUACUACAACUUCAUCAAGAGCGAGAAGUAAAAUGAAAGGUUAUGCAUUGUAGAAGUGGGAGUCGACCCUGAACCUUUGUGUUCAUGCCCACGGACACGGUGUGAAACUUAUCAUGAAAGCUUCUUGCAAGGAUAUUUAAUCAUUUGAGUAAUUCUUAUGGUAUCGUAAAUGGGAUCCCUUGCAGUUAUGGUCCCGGCCAUAUUUCCUCCUUGAUCCCAUUGGGUAAGUUAAAAUUACUCAUCCUCUGCAAAUCAUUUCCCCCGUCCAACCUCUACUCUGAUUUACCUUCUGGCAUUACACCUAAUACAUGAUACCGGGAAGCUUUAUACCCCAUCACAUCAUUCCUAGCCUGAUCGGCUAUAUUUUUAUCGUGUCAACUUUUAACUAUGUCACCUGGUCCUCCUUCCCGGAGCACAAUUUUCGACGAUGAGCUAAGCUUAUGUCCAUUUUCCUCAUCAUAUCAUUUCACCUUGAACAGCAAGCUUGAUUUCGAGUUUGUGACGUACCCAUGGUUCCAAUAACCUUUUGCUUCAUCAUUCCUUUGACUUGGUGUCGUCGCUGAUUGAUUACAUCUUCAUGAAAUCUCUCGACAAAUGUGUCAUGAUCAUCAUCAGCCUUAUGAGCUCUUCCAGGAUAUCAAUCGAGUUCAUGAUGAGAAAUACAAUCCUUCCCCUCGAUGAUUUAUGUUAUCAUCGACAACAUUCUUGCCUUCCCCAACACAAACUUAUUCAUAUAAUUUUGGAAUUACAUCAUUUUUGGCAUGUCGAUGGAUUGUGGCUGAGCCCGUCCGCCACACCCUCAUCUUUUCCCUGCUAAAAUUGUAUGACUUAUUUUCUAAGUUGUUUCCGAUGGAUCCUUGGUGUAUCCAAAGUCUAACCUUUGCAUGAAACCAUGUCAAUGCUAUCCCGAAGCAUGUCUGUGGUACUCCAAACAUCAACAAGAACAUUGGAAGCGCAAUGCUAAACCUUUCUUGAUCUAUUAUCCAAACACCGUUGUACGGGUAAUAUCAUGAUUCUUCCCUUGCCCCCUUUAUCUAAAUGCUUUUGAACUUGUUGUCAUAUCAUGUAUAUCCUGCUCCGCUUCCCUUGGGAAGGAUUUGCUCCCAAUUCUUGUGUGUAAACACAUUUUCCUUUCCAUUGGUCUGAUUAAUCUGAUAAAUUCUUUUUCCUUUCCAUUGGGUUGUUUAACCUUCCUGUGAUCUAUAUGAUAUAAGCAGAAAUAAUUCCUUGCUUAUAAAAUAUUCCGAUGUACAACCUUGUAGUAAGACCCUGUUACUAUUGUUGAUGACAUUCCGGUAACCACCGAUGGACAAGAACUUUGCCUAUUGGUCCGCCUUGUUCAACGAGCAGGAAAAUAGUUCUCUUCGUCCCUCGCCUUGGUACCAACGUUGUUGUCAACAUAACUAACAGUCUAUCAUCUGACAUGUCUUGCUACCGGCCCUCUUUCUACUUUUUAACCCACAGUUCCACAGGAUCGAAACCUGACUCUCCUGGACCCCCCCUCUUUUUGUCUCCAAAGUUAUUCCUCAUGCUUGGCUUCGUAUGUAAAUAACGAGCCACCUUCCUAGAGAUGAUCUAAUCUAGUAUCAAACGCAACACUUAUUUUUCGUUGCUAUGAACCCCACUCACUCACUGUUUCAGGCAACGAACGAUUGCCUACCCGCUUGAAACUUCUUAUUGCAUCUGCUUACCUUGCUCUUGAUGACUUUCUUGAAUUUCAACUCGAGAGAUGCCUAUACGCCACGUUCACUGAGAUAGCCCUCUGGUACCUAUCUUGUGUUAAGCUCCAUCCUCCCCGUGUCUUUCCCCCUUACUCCACCCCUUAAAUCUCGAGACGAGAUUUCUUGUAGUGGAGGCGAAUUGUGACGCCCGGAUAUUUAAGCUACAGUAACCUUCCACUAAUGUUGCCACGUCACCACGAUUUCUGUUAAUAACCUCGUGUUGUUUCCAUCCUGUUUGAAUUCAAAAUUUAAAAUCAAGUCGAACGGUAAUAGUUUUCGAAUGUUCAAACUAAAAUGUUCAUAAUAUUCUCUAAAUUCUCCUGACCUUUGACAAGUUGAAUCCAACUUGAUUUGACUCACAAAUAAAUUCCUAAGAAUUCAAUAAGUCCUCCAAAGGCAUUUAAAUGGGCCUUUUCAAUUAAGCAAUCUUCUCAACCUUUGCAAUUGCCUCAAGAACUUUUGUGCAGCCCUAGAAUAUUGCAUAGCAUUUUUGUGCAUAGUUUGAGCUCCGACAAAAAAAUCAAAAAUCAAUUACUAUCUAUACUAAAUAGGAAACAGUAGCAGUUUUAUUAAAAUAGAAAAAUCAAAAGGGAAAAUCUCCCUCCCCCUCUAGGCUUGGUCCAAAUGGCCGAGGUGGCCCACCAGGUUCGACCGGCCCACCUGGCGCCCUGGUAUAACGCCACCUCCCCGAACCCUAACCCCCACUCGAUCCCCACAUUCCCCACUCCCAUCGUUCCCCACUCCCCACUCCUCCUCCCUCUCCCCGCACCGUUUCUGGAUCGAGGGGUGAUUCCCCCGAUCCCGCCAAUCGCCGACCAUGCCGCCCGGAGACGCCCCCCUUCCUCGCCGUCGUUGCCUCGUCCUCCUCCCGGAACCCCACUCGCCUGGUCAUGGAUCAGGGAAGGGGCUCGAUCCCGCGCUGCCCUGCCAUCAUUGCCUCGCCUCCUCACCUCUCCCACGUCGGCUCCGUCGCGCGUCACCGGCCUGAGGCCUCUACCUCGCCGUCGCCGACCAACGUCGUCGUCGCCUACCGCGUCAUCGUCCCCUCCCCGACGAAACUUCCCCGCGCCUCGCCGACGAAACCCUGCACCGGGGUAUGACCCCAUCUCCCUACCCCUUCCCCUACGCCGCCUCGUACUGCUGCUCGACGCGCUCCCGGCCUCGCCCGCUCACGUCCGUGCUCCGGUGCCGCCCCGCACUGCCCUACUGUGGCCCUGCCACCUCGCUCGCCCGAGCCCAGUGCCACACCGCCGCGCCGCGCCUCCCGCAGCUGCCGCGCUCACUGGUGGCCGCCCCUUGGCCCGCUGCCGAGCACCGCCACUCGCCCCUGCUGCUGCUCCUCACCGGCCAACCAGCGCCCCGGAGCGCCCACACGGCCGUGCCGCAUUCGGACGGGCGCCCAGGCGCCAUCGCCCGCAGCCCCGCAACGCCCCUGUGCUCGUUAACCCGCGUGGCCUCCUGGGCCACUUACCAGUGGAGCCCGCCCCUUUUUUAAAUAAGAACAAAAAGAAAUAUGUAUAAAAAAAUAAUAAUAUAAUUAAUUAAUUAAUUAAUCUUGUUAAUUAACCCUAAUUAAUUAUGUUUAAUUAAUCUAAUUGCAUAUUAGUCUAAUUAACCCUGUUUAGUUUCAAUGUGUCUAUGACAGACGACCCCACUACCCUGUUUGACUAGUCAAUGGUCAAUGUUGACUGAUGACGUCAUGCUGAUGCAAUAACCCCAUUUUAGAAUUAAUAAUAAUUUCAGAAUAUUGUUUAAAUCUUUGGAAAAUCAUAUAAAUUAAUCCGUAACUCGGAUGAAAAAGUUUCUACAUGAAGGUUGCUCAGAACAACGAGACGAAUCCGAAUACGCGAUCCGUUCGUCUGCCACAUGCCGCUAACUAUCUGAACAUGGAACUUUCCCUCUCCGGUCAUCUGUUUGACACAGGUCCGGAACCGGGAAAACAUUCCCGGGUGACUUCCCCCUUCACCGGUAUCGUGUAGCACCGCGUUAGAGCACGCCUAGCGCUACGUAUCGUCAUGUCAUGCUUAGUGAUACCUCUGUUUGCUAUGUAUUUACUUUUUCUUCCCCCUCUUCUCUCCGGUAGACCUCGAGACCGAUACCGCCCCUGUGAUCGACUACGUCGACGACGACCCCCUCCUUGCCAGAGCAACCAGGCAAGCCCCCUUUUGAUCAUCCCGAUAUUGCCCAUUCCAUUCUCUCAUGCUUGCGUUAGAUUUUGCUACUGUUAUUGUUUGCUCCUAUUCUGCUGCAUAGCCUGUUUAUUGUAACCUGCUAUUGUUACCUACAUGCUUAUCCUAAGAUGCUUAGUAUAGGUUCGUUAGUGAUCCAUUAGUGACCCCCACUUGUCCUUGUUGCCCUUGCUUCAUCAUCGGCGACUCGAUCUACGUGAUCGAAGACCAGGCCCCGACACCGCACAUCACUUCCCCUUAGUUUCUCGGCACUACUGGGUUACCAUCGAGUACCGAGGGUGAACCUCUUUAGCACUUCCGAUGUUAACCCUGUAGUGUAGUCAUUCGGUCAUGGUCAUCGAGGGUGAUUUCCUCCUUAACCACUUUCGAUACGACUCUGUCGUGCAACCCCUCAAGUGUGAACCUCGGGGUGAUUCCUCUUACGUACACCUUGAUGAUUACAUCUAGUGGAAUUCAUCGGGGGUGAUUCCUCGAGUUUUCCCCUUGAUGUUUGGACACACGGAUACUUGUACUUUACCACUGUUACUUGGAAAGCGGGUCGACCCUGAGGGGUACCCGCGCGAGCUUAAUUGCGAGUGAUGUGGAGACGGGUUGGUCUGGGGGGUGCCCGCGAGAUAAUUACGAGGCGUGGCCGGGCAUUCCUAGCCCUUGUCGCAAGCCUCAAGACGGGGCAACGGGGUCACAUCUUUCGUGAGUCUCUGCUUGUUACCGCGCUUUCCUAAUCCACUACGAUUUGGAUAUUUGAUCCGAGGGGCCUCUGGCCUGAUAGCACUAACCAUCACGUGGGCAUAGUAUGGGCGUUCUGCGUCGUAUGCAUCAGCCGAAGCUUAAUAGACGUCAGCGACUGAGCGGCGCGCACCGGGUUGGACUGGAAAGCACCUACCUUGUUGAAGGAGGUAGCUAGGUCUGCUCACCGGCCGCGUUCGCAACGUGCAGGAGUUUCCGGGGAGAUGGCCCAUGACCCUUGGGGGCAUAGGUUUAGUCCGGCGUGCUGGCCUCUCUAUUAAGCCUAGGUCGGGUUAUGGUGUAUUGUUUGGCCGAGGCUGGGCAUGACCCAGGAAAGUGUGUCUAACCAGAGUUAAUCGAGUGUGGUGGGUAAGUUGGUGCACCCCUGCAGGGAAGAAAACAUCUAUCGAUAGCCUGUCCUAUGGUAACAAACACUUGGAGUUGUAUCCCGAUUGAUACAACUAGAACUGGAUACUUGAGAUGAGACAUGGAGAUGAGACUUGGAUAUGACAUGAUAACUGGAUAGUAUGGCUCUGGGAUUGCUUUCUCGCAGGGAGUCGAGAAAGGAUCUCUGGCCGAGGUUGAUAACAUUACUGCUACUUUACUUUAUGCUACUCUACUCCCUCCUGUUGCUGCAAGAUAGCGGUUUCCAGAAGAUGCUAGUCUUCGAUAGGCUAGGCUUUCCCCUUCCCUUCUGGCAUUCUGCAGUUUAGUCCACAGAUACAACCCUUUCCUUUGAUACAGAUGCAUACUUAGUUUAGAUCUGAUGUAAGUCUUGCGAGUACUUUGGAUGAGUAAUCGCGGUUGCUUUGCUACUUCUUUCCCCCCAUACCCUAUUGUUGCAACCAGAUGACGGAUCCCAGGAGGCAGACGAUGCCACUGAUGACUACUACUACCCGGAGGAUUCCAACUACUACAUGAAGACCGCUGACGACUUGGAGUAGUUAGGAGGCUCCCAGGCAGGAGACCUUGCCUUUUCGAUCGUUGUUGCUUUUGUGCUAGCCUUCUUAAGGCAAACUUGUCUAACUCAUGUCUGUACUCAGAUAUUGUUGCUUCCGCUGACUCUUGUGUUUUUCGAGCUUAUGUAUUCGAGCCCUCGAGGCCCCUGGCUUGUAAUAUAAAGCUUGUAUUAUUUUAAUUUGUGUCUAGAGUUGUG